GUGACCGGCCCGCUCGCCUGGAAGAACACCAGCUUCACCAGCAACACCUCAGAGGUGCAGAUACUCUCUGUCGACCCACAUGACGAUCUGAAAGGACCAUCUGUACUGAGAGCAUCAGGAGUUUCAAUGAACAUCAACCUCCUGGGAAUAGCCAAGAACAAUGAUAAAGUGGCGACUGUGGCGUUUAUGACAUACAGCCACAUGAUGGACGUCCUGGAUGCCAGCUUCUUCCGCACGAAGAGGGACACCACUAAGACCAUGAUGUCCCGAGUGGUGUCUGCCACACUGCCUGGUACUGCGAACACCACACUGCCCAGUCCUGUCCAGUUCACGUUUCA